CUCAUUAAAUCAGUUAUAGGUUUAUUUGAUGGUCUCUUUGUCUUUUUUUUACCUACUUGGAUAACCGUGGUAAUUCUAGAGCUAAUACAUGCGCAAGGUCCCAAGCGCGGAGAGUAGGGCUUCACGGCUCUAUUCUUGCAUACGUAGCGGGAUGUAUUUAUUAGGUUAAACAACCAGCAUUUUCAUCAUCUGGUGAUUCAUAGUAACUCUUUCGGAUCGCAGUUCAUG
rnacentral:rRNA from 1 species